UACAGAGGUCUCAAGCGUUGUUCGGAUUCAUUGGGCGUAAAGGGUGCGUAGGCGGCGCGGUAAGUCGGGUGUGAAAUCUCGGAGCUUAACUCCGAAACUGCAUUCGAUACUGCCGUGCUUGAGGACUGGAGAGGAGACUGGAAUUUGACGGUGUAGCGGUGAAAUGCGUAGAUAUCGUAAGGAAGACCAGUGGCGAAGGCGGGUCG
rnacentral:rRNA from 1 species